UCAAACUGACCGUGAAGCAGCUUUCGCCGCCCAGUGGAGCGGAUGGAAAUUUACACUCGUUUCUAGUUUUAGUCGAAGACGAGCUCUGAGAUUUAAACUUCAUUUAUUUUACAGCAAAAACUAUGAUUUUGUCAUGGUCUCGGUCAGCAGAGUAACAUGAUUCUACCAGUUUAGAUAAACGAACCAGAUCAGCUCUCAACUGAUGGGAGAUCAGAUUCACCAUCUCCCCCUGAGAAGCAUCUGGACAGUGAGUUUGAGCAGGAAGCUCUUAGUAAGGAUGAUGAAGAGGAUGUGAAGCUCCGAGUCUCUAUCUGAAGUUCUGGAUGAUCAAGAGGUUAUAGCUGGAGGAGUGAGACUUUGGCUUCUACAGACCUACAGAGACAGAUAUCACAUUUUAAUCCAUGUUAAACCAUGGACUGAUUGAUCACAGAUCAUGUAUUGGUUAUUUUGAUAAAUGAUCAUUAAAAUAAAAAUGACUGUUAACAUCUGUAAUCUAUGAACUGCUGACUGAUAAAACAACGUAACAUUAAUAUUGUGUCUAAUGGAAGCUUUUUUACUGAUUAACAGGCACAUGCAUGAGAUCAGAUCCCUCUUGUGGACAAUAAGUGUGUGCAUUAAUACAUUAAAACAGCAGCGGGAGGAAAAGGCAGUUAUGUCUAAUCCUGCUCCUGGUGAGCCAACUUUCCUGAGUUUAGCUCCAACCUGAUUAAAAACACCUGAAACAGCUAAUCAAGAUCUUUAGGAUUACUAGAAAUUUACAGGCAGGUUUAUUGGGUUCUAUGUUUCUAAUUCAUAUAAAACUUGAUUUCAAUAAACAAAUGAUGUUGUUUACAAGAUGUGUUUGUGUUAUC